AGGAGAAGGAGGAGGAGGAGGAGGAGAAGAAGAAGGAGGAGGAGGAGAAGAAGAAGGAAGAAGAAGAAGGAGGAAGAAGAAGGAAGAAGAAGAGGAAGAACAAGAGGAGGAAGAAGAAGAAGGAAGAACAAGAACAAGAAGAACAAGAAAAAGUGUAACAAAUUGAGGAAGAAGAAAAGUGAUAGAAAAAUAAUAAAAAUCAACCUUUAUCAAGUUUUAUCAGGUAUUUACUACAUGCCAGGUAUUGUUUUAAGUUCUUGUGAUGUGUUGUUUCAUUUUUCUCUCAUUUUAAAGAUGAGGAAAAUUAAACUCAGAGAGAUUAAGUAACUUGCCCUUGAGCAAACAACUGUGAAGUGUGGAGACUCUAGAGGCAAGCUCUACUCUUCCUCUGUAGUGGUAGGAGGAUAGGAUUGAAGGAGUGAAGAAAAAGAUGAGAUGGGAAGCUAAAUUAUGCAUCUUAUUUUAUAUACGUUUCUAUUCAAUUUUGUUUCUUUUUUCAAAGUAAACACUGUUUUAUAAAUAAUACAGAACUGAACCCCAAAAUACAUAAUUGGGCAUUGGAGGAUUAGAACAUCCCUAAUGUUCUAAGUCAGACUUCACAUGCACCUCAAGACCACAUGUUAAACACGUUGGGAAAAUAGAGAUAAAAUGAUGGCCCUGGGAAGAGGAGGAAAGAUAAGUGAAGAGGGGGCAGAUGUUUCUUUUUACCAGGAGCUUCCAAAUCUCACCUCAAUUUUCAGCUAAGGCUUUGUUGACACUGGAUGAAAAUUAAAAGCAAAAUUUAUACUGAAAUGUUUGCCUGCUAAUAUAGUUUGGAUAAAUGUUCCUGCCCAAAUCUCAUUUUGAAAUAUAAUCCCCAGUGUGGGAGGUGGGGCCUCAUGAGAGAUGUUUGGAUCAUGGAGGCAGAUGCCUCAUGAAUGGCUUGCACCAUCUCCAUGGUGAUAAGUAAGCUCUUGCUCUGAGCUCACAUGGGAUCUGGCUUUUUAAAAGUGUGUGGCAUCUUCCCCUCCACUCUCUCUCUUGUUUGCUUCUGCUUUUGCCAUGUGAUGUACCCACUCCCCAGUCACCUUCCUCCAUGAUUUUAAGCUUCCUGAGGCCUCUGGAGAAGCCAAGCAGAUGCCAGGAACUUGCUUCCUGAAAGGCCUGUGGAACUGUGAGCUAAUUAAAUCUCUUUUCUUUAUAAAUUACCCAUUCUCAGCUAUUUAUAUAAUAGCAAUGCAAGAACAGCCUAACGCACAUACUUAGUUAUCUAAGUUGUCUAAAUAAGUUCUUAGUUACCUAAACAAGUGCUUAACAUAAUGGUGUCAUAGAAUAAAAUAAGAGGGGUGAAUAAUUUGUGCAACAUUUAGCUUCUAGAAGCCUUUGGAGACACAAUCCCAUUGGGAUGGGCUAUUUGAGGAAAAUCAUGUUUCUAAGUACAUUAGAUAUGAAUGUAUAUUUAAUAAUGGUCUAUAUUUCUAUAUAAAUCUUAAGAUUCAGGAAAAUGGGGUUUUUUAUGUCAUUGGAACUAUUGAUAAGCCAUUCAAAGCUCAGGUAGAUGAUACUUGGAUUUAGCUGAUUAUUACACUGUUAUAUUCACAAACUAGAUAGUUACUCAAAAAACAAAGUGGUCAGACUUUGAAUAAUAUGUUUUCUCAUGUUUCUGUAUUAUCUAAUGACAUGAAACCAUCACGUUCAUGAGAAAGGUUGCCAAAAGUUGAAAGUUAAAUGAUUAAAGAGACAACUAUUCUGGAUUUUGUUAAAAAAAAUGUAACACGAUUUACAGGUCAAAAUGACAACUGCAAAUCUAACUUUCAAGUUUGUUUGGUUUUUGUGUUAGUUAAAAAAAAACGCACACACACACAAAGUCACCAAGUUAGGCAUUCUAGAGUGCAAAUGUGCUCCUAAAAACCUAAUAGUUGAUCAUCCUGAAGUCUUGAUUGCCUUUCCAAAUCUUUUCUUGAUCUUCAGCAGAGCCUGAACUGAUAUCCAAGAGUAAACCUGAGUACUGCACUGACCUUUCCAAAGUAGAAGCAUUUUGAAACAGAUAGUCAACAAAUGCAAACUACAAUUGUUUAAAGGGAACUUCCCCCUUUAUCCAGUUGGUGGACCUCAAGGACAGCCACGUAAGGAGUGUGUGGAGUUUUGCUCUUGUUGCUCAGGCUGGAGUGCAAUGGCGCGAUCUCGGCUCACUGCAUCCUCCGCCUCCCGGGUUCAAGCGAUUCUCUUGCCUCGGCCUCCCAAGAAGCUGGGAUUACAGGCAUAUGCCACUACGCCUGGCUAAUUUUGUAUUUUUAGUAGAGACCGGGUUUCUCCAAGUUGGUCAGGCUGGUCUCACACUCCCAACCCCAGGUGAUCCGCCCGCCUCGGCCUCCGAAAGUGCUGGGAUUACAGGCAUGUGCCACUGUGCCUGGCCUGAAGUUUAUUUUUUGUUUUUUAACUGUCCUCACCUGUCGCAUAUCUAAAACAGUGUAUUUUAUCUACUCUAUGUUUAUGUAAAGAGUUUUAAAAUUUUGACAGUAGCUUAGAUUUUCGUUGGUAGAAUAUCAAACUUGUUUAGGUUUUUAAGAGAUUGUUAUUAAAUGUUAUUAACUUUAUAAUUAAAUCUUAAGUUAUUUAUAAAAAUUGUGUGCUCCAUAAGUAAUGCUAAGUACAUUCCUGCUCUAUAAGAUGUUAUGUUCCACCAAAAUUUAGAUUUGUAUAUCAAUGCAAAACCAAAUGAUUUUAUUAUCAGUGUUACACUUUUACCAAAAUUUAUAACAAAUAGCUUUCACAAUAACGCCCUGCUUUUUUUGGGGGGGGGGGCAACUUUAUUUACAAAAGUUUUGCUUUGAUUCCAUAAAUUGAAUGAAAAAUAUAGAAUAAUUAUUAGAAUUUAGUGAAUUUUUCUGUUUGAAGCAAUUAAGGACACUGUAUCAUUAGCAAGAAAUUAUACUAAUGGAGUCAAGAAAGAAGAAUUAUUACCUCACUCCUGAACUUUUAAAAGUAAUACUAGAAUCUGAAAAUUGAUUUACAAAAUUUUUAAUCAUAGUCAUUUUAUCUAAAUAAAAAGUAAUGCUUCAUGGAGUGUUACAUAAAUGCA